GUGGGGAAUCUUGCGCAAUGGGCGAAAGCCUGACGCAGCCAUGCCGCGUGAAUGAUGAAGGUCUUAGGAUUGUAAAAUUCUUUCACCGGGGACGAUAAUGACGGUACCCGGAGAAGAAGCCCCGGCUAACUUCGUGCCAGCAGCCGCGGUAAUACGAAGGGGGCUAGCGUUGCUCGGAAUUACUGGGCGUAAAGGGCGCGUAGGCGGACAGUUUAGUCAGAGGUGAAAGCCCAGGGCUCAACCUUGGAAUUGCCUUUGAUACUGGCUGUCUUGAGUACGGGGGAGGUGAGUGGAACUCCGAGUGUAGAGGUGAAAUUCGUAGAUAUUCGGAAGAACACCAGUGGCGAAGGCGACUCACUGGCCCGUUACUGACGCUGAGGCGCGAAAGCGUGGGGAGCAAACAGGAUUAGAAACCCCGGUAGUCC
rnacentral:rRNA from 1 species